AGGUUGACAACUGUCUUGGAAUUCUUUGGGCCUGGUCCUGUGAAGCGCAUACCUCCACAUUACUGCUUUAUUCAUUGUACCCAAUGUAACCCAGCCUUGAUAAGACUGUUAUUUUAUUGUUAGUUCUGUAGGGUGAAACUGCUGUUUCCGAGGGACAUUGAACGCACCGCAGCGCUUGGAGCGAGGACCCGUGAGCGAGAGAGACAGAACAUUCUCGCACUUUCCCAGGCGGGUCGAAACGAAGAACGAUAAAUGAAAACUUGUCCUUGAUCCUCUACCUGUACAAUAUAGUAAAGUUAAAUCCUGUGGCAAUCUUUUUUUUUCUUCCCAAGUCAAAAGAAAGGUUUAGAAGAGAUAACGUUCCUGGCUGUUUUUUUGGACUCAUAGACCAUCAAAAGGUUGGACUACUAGUCUGGAGAUUGGAUGCCACGUGGGACGUUGGUGGAGGACAUCUUGGACUUCAAAGCCACCCGUCCCCUGGAGGGUGGUAGGACAGUUGAAAGGAUUUCCCUCCUUUUUUGUUAAAUCUGAGAUCUCAGUCAUUUUUUUAUGGGUCAGA